rnacentral:rRNA from 1 species
AUCGAGAGGGGAAUAACCCGGCGAAAGUCGGACUAAUACCGCAUAAAACAGGGGCACCGCAUGGUGAUAUUGUAAAGAAUUCGCUGAUAGAUGGGCAUGCGGUUCCAUUAGGUAGUUGGUGAGGUAACGGCUCACCAAGCCGACGAUGGAUAGGGGAACGUGAGAGGUUGGUCCCCCACACUGGUACUGAGACACGGACCAGACUCCUACGGGAGGCAGCAGUGAGGAAUAUUGGUCAAUGGGCGGGAGCCUGAACCAGCCAAGUCGCGUGAAAAGGAAGAAGGAUCUAUGGUUCGUAAACUUCUUUUGCAGGGGAAUAAAGUGCAGGACGUGUCCUGUUUUGUAUGUACCCUGAGAAUAAGGAUCGGCUAACUCCGUGCCAGCAGCCGC